rnacentral:rRNA from 1 species
GACGAACGCUGGCGGCGUGCUUAACACAUGCAAGUCGAACGAAGAGCGAUGGAUGCUUGCUUCUAUCAAUCUUAGUGGCGUACGUGUGAGUAACGCGUAAUCAACCUGCCCUUCAGUGGGGUACAACAGUUGGAAACGACUGCUAAUACCGCAUACGAUCUAAACUCGGCAUCGAGGAUAGAUGAAAGUUGGCCUCUACCUUUAAUCUAUCACUGAAGGUGGGGAUUGCGUCUGAUUAGCAAGUUGGAGGGGUAAAGGCCCACCAAGGCGAUGAUCAGGAGACGGGCUGAGAGGAUGAACGGCCAAAAUGGGACCGGGACAAGGCCCAGACUUCUACGGGAGGGAGCAGUGGGGGAUCUUCCGCAAUGGAGGAAAGGCUGACGGAGCAAAGCCGCGUGAGUGAUGACGGCCUUCGGGUUGUAAAGCUCUGUUAAUCGGGACGAAAGGCCUUCUUGCGAAUAGUGAGAAGGAUUGACGGUACCGGAAUAGAAAGCCACGGCUAACUACGUG